UCGAACGCGCCUAUUUUUUUCCUCUGAGAAUUUUCGAGAGAAGCCAGCGGAAACUGGAUUUUCUAUGUUGGACCACACGUCUCUCAGAAGAAAUAGAGUGAUACAGAGUAAGUAUGACAUUUUAUAUUAUGCUAGUGGAUUGUUUUAAGUCUUUAGUUCAUAAUUAGCGUUUUGGACAUAGAAGACUCGCUCAUUUUACUUCGUGUUGUUGACUCACAGGUUCAGUCAAGUUGAUUAAAAGCUGUUCGUUCACCAACUGGACCAAACCGGAUUUUUACCUCACCUUUUUUACCAUCACUUCAGAGCGCCAGAUAUAGGUCCUGUCCUGUCAAGUUGACUAAAAGCUUGUUCACCAAACUUUUUUUUUCCUCCACUUCACUUCAUCUCCGUUGCAAAGCAGCAGAUACAGCUGACUGACAAUGAGAUCAAUGUUGUUCAGAGUGUCAAGUUGGGCAUCUUGUCAAUCAGCGAGGACACCAGACAAGGCCUUCCCAGAUGACUUUGUGAAUGUGGCUGUGAUACUGGAAGGGGAAAUUUUCAUUGUGUAUCUCCAAGACAUUCCAAAUGCCUUCGUCACAUUGUUUGGACUGCUUUAUGCUUUAACCAUCAACCAAAGAGCUGCGAUACACCUUUGAUGUGAUCCAGUGGAUCUUCAUGAACAUUGAUGGGGAAAGCUGCUCCGCAAAAGUUCAUGGACUAAAAACAAACUAAUGCGGUGAAGUGCCUGCACCCAUUGCCAUUUCCUUUCUUUUUUUUUUUUCUUUAAGUUUAAUUGAUGAAUUUGUCAAAGCAUCAGCUAAGUUGAGAUUAAAGUGGUAUGAAACCAAUUCAUACGUCUUUUAAUGUCUUAAUGCUUUUCAGAGUUUCUUUUUGAAAGGAAUGUUGUGAACAGGAUAUUUCUAUAUUUAUCUAUAUGGGAAUGGCUUUUUAAAGUGUUUAGUUUAAUUGAUGAAUUUGAGGCUUGAGAGCAUAAAUAAUUGAUAACUUAGUUUAUAUUAAAAUGGCAUUUAAGCCAAUUCAUAUAUCUAUAAUGCGUUUAACAAUGUUUAAAUAUUUUCUUUUGGAAUGAAGGAUGUUUCUAUAUUGAAUGCUGUGGGGUGAUCUUGUUUAAUGUUAUAUAACAGAUUAAUCCACAAAACGUGCAGGUGUAAAACACCUUUCAAUGAGGUUGGUGUUUUUAGGAGUUUAUUGCAAUACAUUUUGUGUUGAAAAUUGUAUUUGUGAUU